AAAAUAGGGGAGGCCCUGUUUCCGAAAAGAAAAAGAAAAAAAAAUAGAGAAAAGGGGGACUAAUGUUUGAAAUGAGUGGCUAAUUUCUUAGGGAGGGUGAUGGAGGAACCUUUGAUGUAUUGCUCUUUGAAGUAAACUCUAAACUUUUGAUUUGAAUGACUUAUAUUUACUGAUUUGUUCUUGAUCCAUGCGUAGUUAUUUCAUAGAUAGCUCUUUAAUGGAUUAUGAUUAUUGAUA
rnacentral:lncRNA from 1 species